UGAACGCUAGCGGCAGGCUUAACACAUGCAAGUCGAGGGGUAACAGGGAUUGCUUGCAAUCCGCUGACGACCGGCGCACGGGUGCGUAACGCGUAUGCAACCUACCUUCUACAGGGGGAUAGUCAAUAGAAAUGUUGAAUAAUACCCCAUACGAUCUUUGAAUAGCAUUAUUUAAAGAAGAAAGCUCCGGCGGUAGAAGAUGGGCAUGCGUCCUAUUAGUUAGUUGGUAAGGUAACGGCUUACCAAGACUUCGAUAGGUAGGGGUCCUGAGAGGGAGACCCCCCACACUGGUACUGAGACACGGACCAGACUCCUACGGGAGGCAGCAGUGAGGAAUAUUGGACAAUGGAGGCAACUCUGAUCCAGCCAUGCCGCGUGCAGGAAGACUGCCCUAUGGGUUGUAAACUGCUUUUAUACAGGAAGAAAUAUACCUACGUGUAGGUAUUUGACGGUACUGUACGAAUAAGGAUCGGCUAACUCCGUGCCAGCAGCCGCGGUAAUACGGAGGAUCCAAGCGUUAUCCGGAAUCAUUGGGUUUAAAGGGUCCGUAGGCGGUCUUUUAAGUCAGAGGUGAAAUCCUACAGCUCAACUGUAGAAUUGCCUUUGAUACUGAAAGACUUGAGUUAUUGUGAAGUAGUUAGAAUGUGUGGUGUAGCGGUGAAAUGCAUAGAGAUCACACAGAAUACCGAUUGCGAAGGCAGAUUACUAACAAUAUACUGACGCUGAGGGACGAAAGCGUGGGUAGCGAACAGGAUUAGAUACCCUGGUAGUCCACGCCGUAAACGAUGGAUACUAGCUGUUCGACCAACAUUGGUUGGUUGAGUGGCUAAGCGAAAGUGAUAAGUAUCCCACCUGGGGAGUACGGUCGCAAGACUGAAACUCAAAGGAAUUGACGGGGGCCCGCACAAGCGGUGGAGCAUGUGGUUUAAUUCGAUGAUACGCGAGGAACCUUACCAGGGCUUAAAUGUAAGUUGCAUGAUUUAGAGAUAGAUCUUUCUUCGGACUACUUACAAGGUGCUGCAUGGUUGUCGUCAGCUCGUGCCGUGAGGUGUCAGGUUAAGUCCUAUAACGAGCGCAACCCCUAUCGUUAGUUGCCAGCGGAUAAUGCCGGGUACUCUAACGAGACUGCCAGUGCAAACUGUGAGGAAGGUGGGGAUGACGUCAAAUCAUCACGGCCCUUACGUCCUGGGCUACACACGUGCUACAAUGGCCGGUACAGAGAGCAGCCACUCCGCGAGGAGGAGCGAAUCUUCAAAGCCGGUCUCAGUUCGGAUCGCAGUCUGCAACUCGACUGCGUGAAGCUGGAAUCGCUAGUAAUCGGAUAUCAGCCAUGAUCCGGUGAAUACGUUCCCGGGCCUUGUACACACCGCC
rnacentral:rRNA from 1 species